rnacentral:tRNA from 1 species
GACUCUGUAGCUCAGAUGGAUAGAGCAACUCCCUCCUAAGGAGUAGGCCAUGCGUUCGAAUCGCGUCAGGGUCACCA